GAGCCAGGACCGGGACGAGGGUCACAAGCAGGAGCAGGACCAGCGCCAGGACUCGGCGAGAGCCAGCUUCAGGACCCGGACCAGGACCAGGGACAAGCUCGCGGCCGCGACCUGCGCCUCCGCGCGGCACUUCCGCCCUGACCCGCCCACGUGACAGCCCGCCCGCGCGGGCCUCCCUGCCCACGUGACACCAGCAGCCCCGCCCACCGAGGAGGGUGGGGACGGUUUCCGCGGCAACCGCUGCGGCGUCUUCCGCCUUCCUCCCCGCUCAACGGCGAGGGGUGAGCGGCACACGACGGCGCGUCGGGGGAAGGCGAAGCCGGGGUCUGCCCUGCCGUGGACACCUGCAAGAGCCUAGUGAUCAUUCAGUAUCUGAAGUGAAGGGAUCUAGCAUACCACCAGCUGGUGAACUGUCUGAGGACCCAACACCUACAGUUGAAUCCCCACCAUCACUGGAUGACCCACCUGGAAUUGAAACACCAGCAUCUGCUACCCAGCCAUCUGUAGUGGAAUUGCCAGUGUCUGCAGCCCAGCUGAUUGUUGAGAACCAUCGAGUUCUGAGGACCAGAUACCUGUUGUUAAGUUUCCUGCAUCCAGGAAAAACUCACGUAAGAUAGGAUUACUUGUGGGUGAACCGCCAGAUUUCAAAGUCAAGAUGUACACAUCUGAUUCCACGCAGGCUGGUGAUAAAAUACCUGAGGCUGGGUCGUCAGCAACUGUAGCCAAGCCAACAGAGGCUACAUGUGAAACAUCGGAGCAGCCAAUGGUAUAUGAAGACCCCUUUGAAGUCUCCAUUAAUUACAUGGAGAAACAUAAUAUUCUGCAAAUUUUUCAGGAGAUCACAGAAAAAUUGGUGUACCAGAAGCCUGAUGACCCCUUGCAGUUCAUAUUGCUGCAGGUGCAGUCUAUGAUAAAUGCCAGGCAGGCAAAAAUGGAGGGAAUAUUACAGGAGAAUGAAGACACAGAGGUGUUUCUGAAAGAGGUCCCAAGCACUCCUUUUGUCCCCUACGCACCUUGAAAUUGUGGUAUUAAAUGGAGACUCCACAGCACCAUGCUUUUGUAAUGAUUGGAAGUAACUCGGAAUAGGUUUGCCUGUAUCUCCAUUUCCUGUAUUUUUCUGUUCUGAAUGCUUGUACUUCCCCUUGGGUUUAAAUCCUGUGGCCAAGUAUUGGUUUGAAGCACAAACUCAAAUCUUAAAGGGUACAUGGACCUGCAUGCACGUGGCACAUCUUGAAGAGGAAGAUAUGCUUAACUUCUAUGCAGCCUCUUCACACAAAUGCAUAAAUCCCACAUUUAGACCACGCCUAGACUCUGCUUUCCUGCGCAGAGAAACCUCACAUCUCAGACAAUGCAAGCACAAAAGCAAGUAGAAUUAAAAAGCAGCCCUGGACAACCCACAGUCCUCUCUUUGUUUCACGCUGUAUUUACAGCUUAUUAUCUCCAGCAAUGCAGCAUCACCAAUGCCUAUCUAAUAAUUUGAGAGGCUGGAUCUGUGGCUUUCCUGCUGCACCCAGGGCCUCUUUGAUGCAAGAAGCAGCCUCUCUGCCUCUUCCACACACCGAGCACAUCUGUCUCACCCAUAACCAUCCCUGCUGGAUUCCAAUCACUCUGUUUUUUGGGGUUGACCUGCUAGUAUCAUUGCAACUGCAGUGUAUAUUUUGAUAAACAGAACAGUAAAGCAACAAUUGCAUGCGCCCACUGUUGCUUCAGAAGACUUUGGCGCUCAGGAAUGUGGGAGAUGAAUAAAACUAACCAAACCCGAGCAUGGGUAGCCCAGGGAAUUCAGAGUCAAGUUCCACUUUGCAAACACAUCAUUUGAACUGCUUUUGAUUCUCAAAACACUUCUUACAAUCCUCAUUUUUGUUCUAUCCAAAUGUCUGUUUCCACCCUGUAACGAAACUUUGUGGGUUUUUUUGUUUUUUUUGUUUUUUUUUUUUUUUUGGUCUCUUGCCUGAAGAUUAUUGAAAAUGUGCAACAGAGCGUACUGUUUUUUUGGCUUCAUUUAACAUGUAUGUUCAGUAGAUGCCAGAAAGUUUUUUUUGUCACUACAGAUUUUCUCUUUUUUAGGCAAGUGCUCUAAUUUCAUGACCGGUGGUAGUGUAUUCCCAAAUGACUGUUUCUGUGCCUGUGAAGAGAGGACCAUAGAAACUUAUCUUUCAUCUAUCUAUUUUCAGCUAAAAGUCUGAUGAUAAGGUUGCGUGGUAAUGUACAGCAGAGCUUGGGCCCAAAAAGUCUGGGAAUAACAGAGGCAAGUAUUUGGCAUACUAAUUCUGUGUUUGAGAAGAGUUGCCUUUCUAGCUAAGGUCUUUAAAAAGGACCAGUUAACUCAUGUGUUUCCAGGUUAAAGGCAGGUAAGCAGCCCUGUCAUUCAUAGGGCAGGAAAGUUUUCAAGGUCAUUUUGAUUCAAAAGAUGGCUCAAGAUUCAGAUAAAAUCUUCAUGGGUUUUAUAGGAGAUUUGAUGUAGACAUAGGCAUCUAGGUCCCACUGAAGCAGUGAGGUGCUUUUGAAAGCCCUACUUAUCUUCAGCAACUGGAAGAACUGGACACCUAAUGAAACAGAGAGACUGAUUGUUUUUCAGCCCGAUGUGUUUUUGGUCAAGAAUUUAUAAACAGCCCUGUGCAUAUGUGUCCUGUGAAUGUAAGGGAAGUGCUAACACACCUCUGUAAAACAGGAACUGCAUGGAAGAUGAAGAUAGUGGCUGAAGCCUUUUCAUCUCUAUAAUAGUCACUUGUCAGCAUGCUUUCCCAAAAGAUGGAGAAGUUGGCAUGUCUUUGAAUUUUGUUGUAAGACAGGACUAGGGUGCUUUGGGGUACAGCCUUAACUGUGAAUUUCCUGCUUCUGACAUUUGUGUAUUGUAUUUUGUUGUUCUCUUUUAUUUAUGAAAAACUUCUGGCUUAUAAUAUGUUCUUGGACUAAAGGUGUGUGCCCCCAAUUUCUUGUCAGCAUUUAGGGAGUUAUGCAAAGAAAAGUCCUUGAUUCCUCUUUCAGAUAAGUUGAGGUGAGCUAGAAAGUAGUCUUACAGAUGACAGAAGUUUUACAAAAGAGGCCCUAACCUGUGUUCCUUGGCAAUCUCAGGGUCAAAAUUUUCUUUUGGUGACCUGUCCACCUUGUCUUAUGAUAAUGAAAUUGCUUUGUGGUAGCAAGAAGUUCUCUCCAGUGCACGUAGAAGGGAGCAGCUGUCUUUUCUAUUUCUCAGGACUGAGGGCCCUCUCCUUUGAGGAGCAGCAGUUGUACAGAACUGAAUGAGGCUGUAUUCAGGACAGCAGUGUGGACCUGGAGUUGGCAUGUGUAGGUAGCAAGAGUCUGCAAUAGGCUAAGGAUGAUUAUUCAGCUUUCACAAUACUAGUGGUCAGUAGACCAGCUCUGAGCAAGGGCUUUGAGAAGAAAUCUUGGGGAACUCAUCAUGAGAUGAGGAGAAAUUUCACUUCUUUCUCCUCAGGCCUCUCAGAUUAUUAGAUUAUGUUUUGAACUGCAUUUUUUUUAAAAGAAAAAUACCCAGGUUAUUAGUUUUAUGAAAACAAAAUAACAUCCUCCAGAAGGUGUGCAGAUUAUUUUGUUUAAGCUAGUGACACACAGCUGUCCUUUUAUAUUUUCUUCAGAGUUUUGCUGAAAGAUACACAGCUCUAGAAAAAUUCUACCACACAUUAAGGCACUAAUGCACCACUGCUGUUUCUGUGUAGGAAGGCUUUUCUGUGGUGAAGAAAGGGAGAAAAGUUAGACUUAAAAUGGAAGUAUUUAUUUCAGUCUUGAUUCCAGAGUGACCGUCCUUUUUCCAUAUUUUUUUCCCAAACUAUUAGAUCCAUGUUUCUUCUUCAUAAGUGGGCAUUUAUCAACAUGACAUUAAACUGUCAUUAAAUUUCUUGCCUUGGGUGCUCUGUAGGAAUUAACAGUUCAUUGUGUGUAACCAAAACUAUUCCAUAUAAGUCCUUAUAGCAUGCUUGUCACAGUAUAUUUGAACACCCUCCAGUAGUGUGCUAAGCAACGUGACUAACAUCUGUUGUUUGUUCUUUCUUCUCUCCAUGAGGGAGAUGUCUGUGCACUGAAGUGCAUUCUUUUUAAGAGGGUGUUUUGUUUUUGUUACCCACACCUGUGUAUUGCUGUGUGCUUUUAACAGAUAAGGAUAAGUCAUGGAGUAGAAGGUGGGGAGCUUGAAGGUAGUUUGCAGUUCCCAAGGGUGUUUCCUCUGUGGUUUGAGCUGGGCACAGAGAAAGCAAAGUAUUUUCACAGACAAGAUUUUUGGUUGAUUCAUGGACUGGCACAGAAGCAUGACAUCCAGUUCAGCUGCCAAAUAGCAUGAACUUAUCGUGUACAGGCCAUUUCUGUUGCAUGAACCUUGUACUCCUCCAGAAGCAGAAUGUGGAGGAGCCAACCAGGGAAGUGUACUCAUUGUGAAAUAAGUGACUCGGAUCAAAAUAUCAAUUUCUUUUUCUGCCACCUUUGUACGGAAGUUAAAAUUACUCAGAUGCCCCAACAAAUACUAAAGUUGCCUGGGUUCUGCCUUUAACUCUUAAAAAGAAACAACAAACAAAUAAUGUCGUAACUGCUGAUUAAAGAUCCUUGGAAAAGUUCACACAGAGACUGCUCUGCUUCUUAGUGAGGUGGAGGGUGCAAGCGUGAUCACUUUUCAAUGGCCAGGUACUUAUAGCAUGAGAACAUUUCAUUGUGACUCACUGGGUAUUAAUCAUUACUACGUAACACCAAUUUUAAGCUAGUUUAAAGCCAUUGAUUUCAAAGUUUCACAAUCGUGUGAAACUUAAAGUACACAGCAGUAGCUAUUCAGGAUUUGCAUGUUUU